AUCAUUUUCUUGUCUUCAAUCCCAGUGCUAGGUAUCAUUUUUUUGUCUUCAAUCCCAGUGCUAGGUAUCAUUUUCUUCUCUUCAAUCCCAGUGCUAGGUAUCAUUUUUUUUGUCUUCAAUCCCAGUGCUAGGUAUCCUUUUCUUGUCUUCAAUCCCAGUGCUAGGUAUCAUUUUUUUGUCUUCAAUCCCAGUGCUAGGAAUAAUUUGUUUGUCUUCAAUCCCAGUGCUAGGUAUCAUUUUUUUGUCUUCAAUCCCAGUGCUAGGUAUCAUUUUUUUGUCUUCAAUCCCAGUGCUAG